AACCAUACUAUCAAUGAAUGGAUUUCCACCCGUGAUAUAACGUGCUUUUUUCACUUAGAACGAGGAUGUGACAUCCUAUUACCAGCCAUCGCAUGAAAUUAAUAGGAUGGCACGUCCUCAUCCUAGGUGGAACAGCCAAGUCAUCUCACAGAUGAAUCGAUCCCCUCAUUAAUAGUUUGAUU
rnacentral:pre_miRNA from 1 species